rnacentral:piRNA from 1 species
UGGUGCUUGACGAGACAAGGACACCGC